UCGAAAGUAGUUUAUUAAAAAUGUAAAAUUGUCAAUUUUAAGAGGUUCUUUGAGCUUUUCGAU
rnacentral:tRNA from 1 species